rnacentral:rRNA from 1 species
GACGAACGCUGGCGGCGUGCUUAACACAUGCAAGUCGAACGGUAAGGCUCCAGCUUGCUGGGGUACACGAGUGGCGAACGGGUGAGUAACACGUGGGUGACCUGCCCUGCACUUCGGGAUAAGCCUGGGAAACUGGGUCUAAUACCGGAUAGGACCGCACCGUGAGGGUGUGGUGGAAAGUUUUUUCGGUGUGGGAUGGGCCCGCGGCCUAUCAGCUUGUUGGUGGGGUAAUGGCCUACCAAGGCGGCGACGGGUAGCCGGCCUGAGAGGGUGGACGGCCACAUUGGGACUGAGACACGGCCCAGACUCCUACGGGAGGCAGCAGUGGGGAAUAUUGCACAAUGGGCGGAAGCCUGAUGCAGCGACGCCGCGUGGGGGAUGACAGCCUUCGGGUUGUAAACUCCUUUCACCAUCGACGAAGGGUUUCUGACGGUAGAUGGAGAAGAAGCACCGGCUAACUACGUGCCAGCAGCCGCGGUAAUACGUAGGGUGCGAGCGUUGUCCGGAAUUACUGGGCGUAAAGAGCUCGUAGGUGGUUUGUCGCGUCGUCUGUGAAAUUCCGGGGCUUAACUCCGGGCGUGCAGGCGAUACGGGCAUAACUUGAGUACUGUAGGGGAGACUGGAAUUCCUGGUGUAGCGGUGAAAUGCGCAGAUAUCAGGAGGAACACCGGUGGCGAAGGCGGGUCUCUGGGCAGUAACUGACGCUGAGGAGCGAAAGCAUGGGGAGCGAACAGGAUUAGAUACCCUGGUAGUCCAUGCCGUAAACGGUGGGCGCUAGGUGUGGGUUUCCUUCCACGGGAUCCGUGCCGUAGCUAACGCAUUAAGCGCCCCGCCUGGGGAGUACGGCCGCAAGGCUAAAACUCAAAGGAAUUGACGGGGGCCCGCACAAGCGGCGGAGCAUGUGGAUUAAUUCGAUGCAACGCGAAGAACCUUACCUGGGCUUGACAUAUACAGGAUCGCGCCAGAGAUGGUGUUUCCCUUGUGGCUUGUAUACAGGUGGUGCAUGGUUGUCGUCAGCUCGUGUCGUGAGAUGUUGGGUUAAGUCCCGCAACGAGCGCAACCCUUGUCUUAUGUUGCCAGCACGUUGUGGUGGGGACUCGUAAGAAACUGCCGGGGUUAACUCGGAGGGAGGUGGGGAUGACGUCAAAUCAUCAUGCCCCUUAUGUCCAGGGCUUCACACAUGCUACAAUGGUCGGUACAGUGGGUUGCCAGUCCGUGAGGGCGAGCUAAUCCCGCAAAGCCGGUCUCAGUUCGGAUCGGGGUCUGCAACUCGACCCCGUGAAGUCGGAGUCGCUAGUAAUCGCAGAUCAGCAACGCUGCGGUGAAUAAGUUCCCGGGCCU